rnacentral:rRNA from 1 species
UAAAGGCCGCAGUAUAUUGACUGUGCAAAGGUAGCAUAAUCAUUUGCCUUUUAAUUGAAGGCUUGUAUGAAUGGUUGGACGAGAAAUAAACUGUCUCUAAUUAAAUAUAUUGAAAUUUACUUUUAAGUGAAAAGGCUUAAAUUUAUUUAAGGGACGAUAAGACCCUAUAAAUCUUUAUUAUUUUAUUGGGGUGAUAUAAAUAUAAUAAAUAACUAUUUUCUAUUAAUUACAAUUGUAUUUGANNNNNNNNNUUUAAAUGAUCCUAUUAUAAGAUUUUAAGAUUAAGUUACUUUAGGGAUAACCAGCGUUAUUUUUUUUUAGAGUUCUUACAAAAAAAAAGUUUGCGACCUCGAUGUUGAAUUAAAAUAUCCUUAUGGUGAGCCGCAAAAGGUCUGUUCGACUUUUAAAAAUUU